rnacentral:rRNA from 1 species
UGCGGAGGGAGCUAGCGUUGUUCGGAAUUACUGGGCGUAAAGCGUACGUAGGCGGCUAUUCAAGUCAGAGGUGAAAGCCCGGGGCUCAACCCCGGAACUGCCUUUGAAACUAGGUAGCUAGAGUCUUGGAGAGGUUAGUGGAAUUCCGAGUGUAGAGGUGAAAUUCGUAGAUAUUCGGAAGAACACCAGUGGCGAAGGCGACUAACUGGACAAGUACUGACGCUGAGGUACGAAAGCGUGGGGAGCAAACAGG